rnacentral:precursor_RNA from 7 species
UUCGCCAGUGAUCAUGUGUGAUACUUGGAGAGAGGCUGGCCGUGAUGAAUUCGAUUCAUCUAAACGAGUCAUACACGGCUCUCCUCUCUUCUAGUGUCAAACUCUGCCUCAGAGGUCUU